rnacentral:rRNA from 1 species
UACGUAGGGGGCUAGCGUUGUCCGGAUUUAUUGGGCGUAAAGAGCGUGUAGGCGGCCAGGUAGGUCUGGUGUGAAAACUCGAGGCUUAACCUCGAGAUGUCAUCGGAAACCAUCUGGCUAGGGUCCGGAAGAGGAGAGUGGAAUUCCUGGUGUAGCGGUGAAAUGCGCAGAUAUCAGGAAGAACACCAAUGGCGAAAGCAGCUCUCUGGGACGGUACUGACGCUGAGACGCGAAAGCGUGGGGAGCGAACAGG